AAUAGGUCUAUGCAGCGAGAGGGGGUUUUCCAGAUGGAUCAAAACUAGACAUCACAUUCCUAGCCUGCUCUCUCUCUCUUGGCUCUGGAGAAGCAUCCUGGACAAAGUGGCAUACAGUAGUAAUGCCAGGAUGAUCCUGGUGGAUUGUACUGCUAAUUCCACCCAUUCAGUGGGAAAAAUUCUGUUAGCAGGUAAGAGCAUGCUUUGAAGUGCAGCACAAGAUUCUCAGUGACUACAAGCAAGUCUGGGUCAGAGAAGAAUUGAUCCCAUUUUCAGCUGAGUCCUGAAGCUUGCAGGCAUGAGAAUGCAAGGUGGAGGUUUUCUUCUCGGGGCCACAAGGAUCUGUCUGUGAUCAAUUUUAAAGCAUAAUCCAGUUCCCAGUGAAGUGGCAUAUCCUGGCACUUUCCAAAGUGAAGUCAGAUUUUGGCACCGUCCCUUAAGCUGUGAUGAAAGUUACAACGGGGAGGUAGGAUUUCACAGAAAUAAAGAGCACGACCUGCCAAAGCACAUGUUUUGGAGUAAAUAAUGAUGAAAAAAAUGUGGUGUUUUGCUUGCCAAAGUGCACUAUUUUGCCUUAAGGCACAGAGGACUCCCACGGUGCGUGUGUCCAAAUUGUGAGGACCUCCUGGGUCAGGAUAGUGGUGGUGGGACUGUUCAGAGCCUGUGAAGCUCAGAAGGUCCAGCACCAACCUGGACGGGAGGCAAUGUGCUGACAGCUGCCCAGAUUUUGCUCCUCAGAUGGGGUCCCCUUACCCCUGCCCUGUGCUACACUGGUAGCAGGGCACAGCCCCCCACUGUCACAGUCUGCAAGGACCUUGAAGUAUAGCUCAGAUUACUAGGACAGCCUUCCUCAGAAAAGUAACUAGAAAUGUAUCUUUGCUGGAUUGGGGCAUAAUUUUAUUUGUGUUGUUUUCUUUUUCUUUUAGUCCAUAUCCUGCUUAAUAGUGCUGUUCUUACUACCUGGAGGGAAUCAGAAGAUUCUCCACACUGAGUUUUCCACACUGCUCCUGCAGGCCUCCAGCUAUAUCCAGAAGGAGAAGCCUACAGAUGAGAUAAUUCCCCUGCAUAGACACUGCCAUGGUGUCCUCUUGGUGGUGCCCAAAGCACCCAUAGCUCUGGCUGUAUCUUCUUGAGCCAAACUUAUGAGCAGUAACUAUAAAAAUUAUUUUUUCAGCCACUGCUGGAGACUUGUCUUCCAUUGGGCUUUUGAAUGUGGGAAUUUCCAGGAAUACAUCCUCUGGGUUUUCAGGAACAUGCCCUUGUCUCCUCUACGGUGUAUUUACCUCCUCCUACUUCAGAAAUAGAAGUGAAGAAAACUUUUGACAAGGUCCUUCAGCCAUUUUUGUUCACAGUUGCUUUGCCAUGGAAGGGUUAGAUAUAUCUCAUCAUUAUUCCAGAGGCAACUAAAAUCUGACAUUUGCUAAUAAAAAUAUGUUGCAUGUGAA